CGUCAGUAACAACGAAUGGCGAGAAGUCAGCAGAAGCCAUAGUAAACCGAUGGCUUAAGACAUCGGCGAAGGGC
rfam:Roseburia sp. 831b contig000008, whole genome shotgun sequence.